AUUGAACGCUGGCGGCAGGCUUAACACAUGCAAGUCGAGCGGAGCGAGGGUGCUUGCACCUUAGCUUAGCGGCGGACGGGUGAGUAAUGCUUAGGAAUCUGCCUAUUAGUGUGGGACAACAUUCCGAAAGGAAUGCUAAUACCGCAUACGCCCUACGGGGGAAAGCAGGGGAUCUUCGGACCUUGCGCUAAUAGAUGAGCCUAAGUCGGAUUAGCUAGUUGGUGGGGUAAAGGCCUACCAAGGCGACGAUCUGUAGCGGGUCUGAGAGGAUGAUCCGCCACACUGGGACUGAGAAACGGCCCAGACUCCUACGGGAGGCAGCAGUGGGGAAUAUUGGACAAUGGGGGGAACCCUGAUCCAGCCAUGCCGCGUGUGUGAAGAAGGCCUUAUGGUUGUAAAGCACUUUAAGCGAGGAGGAGGCUACUCUAGUUAAUACCUAGGGAUAGUGGACGUUACUCGCAGAAUAAGCACCGGCUAACUCUGUGCCAGCAGCCGCCGUAA
rnacentral:rRNA from 1 species